rnacentral:tRNA from 1 species
GCCUGGGUGGCUCAGUCAGUUAAGCAUCCGACUUCGGCUCAGGUCAGGAUCGCAUGGUUUGUGGGUUCAAGCCCCAUGUCAGGCU